UCCUUUUUUUAUUCCCUAGAAGAAUAAGAUUGCAUGAGAUUGCAAUGACCUGUUUCCUGAAAAUUUGUUAGGACUCACUUGUAAAAAACUAUCUUGCUUUGUGUUUUCUUUCUAGGAAAACCCUUAACUAUGGCUUUGGUUUCUUUAAUAGUGAACAGAGUCUUCAGGAAUUCUAUUUAUUUUCAAGUUCUUCUAAGUUAUACUAUAAAAAGUUAUCUUUGUCCACGUGUUCCCAUUUUUGGCAUUAAAUCAUUUUAAGAAUUAUACCUGGCAUCCUGUUUCUUUAUUCAUGACUAACAUUCCUUUGUUGUAUCUUCUGUCUUUUUGUGUAUCCGUUUCUCCAGAAGUUUUCCUAUUAACUUUGCAAAGAACCUGUUGAUGGUCUUCAGAUUCCUGGAGGCAUUUAGGGAGGGAGCAAGUUUGGGAGAGGAGUGAAUUCACCUGGGCUGCAGCCCACUGCUGAGGACAGACCCUCCAGGGAUACAGGUGUCAAGUCCAUCAAUGGGCUCUGACCCACUGGAGAAAGGGCAGCAUCAACCAUUGGCCAGGCUGCGGGACCAAAGCUGACUUAUGAUGGUGUCAUCGGGUAAGACCUCGCCUGCCCUUGGAUCUCUCCUGCCUCCCACAGCCCCUUGAACCCCAACAAGAAAGACAUACUUGGUGGUGGCUGAUGGCAUCAGGCACCUAAGCUGCUGGCUGGAGGAGAAGCGUCGUGAACCGUGGAGCUGCAGCAGGAGCCGGGUGGCCAUAGCGGCCUUGGUGGGGUGGCAAAGGUCGAUUUAUUCAGGGCAGAGUUUUUGGUGUCUGGAGCGGACUGGGCAUUUUAAAUUGCUGACUUUGGAUGCAUUUGUUGACUUCACGUGGCCAAAGCGCUUCUUAUUUCCUGGGACUGAUUAGAAAAUGUACACGUCCCACCUGGGUUUUCAUCCAGGGACAGAGAGUGUCCAGAGAACAGGUUUAAAAGGGACAGUAGGAAACAAGCCAAAGCUGUCUCGGGUUACAUCCAGAGCACCUGCCUGCUCCUCACGCAGCUCCUCAGACGUCUCCACCUAAUCACAGAAUGACGGAGCCUCGCGUUUCCUCUCAUGGCCACCAACGCCGUGGGGCAGCCAACUUACAGAAUGUCUUCACUUCAAGAUGGGAUACAGCCUGAAAACACGAGCAGCGAGUGUAAAAUGGGUGGAAGAGGUAUGGCUAAGCCUUUCGAGGUUGGCACUGGGACAGCAGUGGCACCUCCUCCUGACACAUCCCUGAAGGUGAAGGCUGGGCUUCCACGGAGCGUGCGGAUGCCUAACGUGGUGUGUUUUCUUACUUUUUCGUGAGUGAGGUUGAAUUUACUAUUUUCCCUGGCCCGCGCUGUUUCAUUUCUGAGGGUGCUUUUGCGACAGUGUCUGCUAUGGAGCAGUCUAUCAGCAAGGAUGAUGUGUUAUCUCUCCAAAAGCUCAGAUGCUUGGCAUAUGUCUGCACAAUUUAAACAUUAGUAACCAAUUAGCUGCACAGAACCCAUUUUUAUUUUAAAAAUGUCCUACCAUUAUUUCAUUCCCUACUUUAGGAAAUUUUGAAAUUCCCAAAUAAAUAGCAGUCAGAUAUUUUGAAUGAUAGUGACUCCGACAGGAAACUAGCCCGAGUUCUUUACCCACUAAGAGCAUCUCUAAGUCACCCUGCAGAUUCUGUUUCUAUGUCUUAGAAUAUCUUUUCCCCUAGGGAUUCUGCAGUAGCUUGUGACACCCUUAUUUGGAAGAAGCACUUGCCAGAAAGUGAACCGUGGAAGAAUAUUUCUCAGCCCUCCGUUCUCAAGACAGAUGAGUGCUUUAGAAAGAGGACUCUGCAGCGGCGAGGAGGAUGGAAUGACAGGCAAAGCACGCAGGACCAGGAGAUGGCUUCCUUCCCUCAAUCACUCAUCCAAAGACGUUUAAUGAGCACCUACUGUGUGUCCGGCAUUGUGCCGGGCAAUGGGGAUAUCGUAGUCAGUAAUAAGUGAGGAGAGAUGAGUUCAUUUGUGAGAGGCUCUGACCAGUGGAAUCAGAGGAAGGGAGUUCCCCAGGGUGGGCCAGGUUCAAAGACAUUUUGGAAGUAGAAUCUGCAGAACAUGAUGAUCUUUUGGAAACAGGGCAGGGACGUGAAUGAGCACGUAAUGUCCCCAUGGGUUUGUCUUUCCGAAGGUUUAAAAUCCUCAAGAAUAAGGAACAUAGGCAUGUGUGGUAACGGUCUCCACGGUGGGGGAGUAUUAUGUCAGUGCACCUGCAUGUUAACUCUGCUCAUGAAGGGGCCACGUCUUCAUCACCACAAAGCCUCAGGCAUGCAUAUCUGGUCCCUCCUACCCCCUCCCUAUUGAGGUGCAAUAAAGGCCCAUGUUUCUCCUAGUAUGGGAACAGAACUAAGUCCUUUGUUCUAUUUGACAUGUAUCGACUCAAGCAUUCGAUGAGUAUUGAUGAAGUGUGUUCUAAGCUUGCACCGGGCUAGGUCUUCUACUGCAAUCCCCACGCUUAUAAACCUUGCCAACCUGUGCCACCUGCAAGCUUUCUGACCUUGGGCGUCCUCAUCUCUUCACCUCCACUGGUAAAGAUGAGCUAACUGGUAAAGAUGAGCUAUGGAAAGAACGUGGAGUAGUCCUCGGCACAUAGUAGGAAUUUAGUGAAUAUCAGUUCUCUUCAUUCACAAGCCCUUAAUAGGCCAGGUACUGGAACAAAAGACAAAUCAGAUGGAAGAAGGCUCAUACUGCAUCCCGGACUGGCAGAAUGAGAGCGGCUCCUGGAACCGGGAUUCCACGUCAGCUUUCAGCUUUUUUUCUGCUUUUUCCUUCUUCUCAGGCCUUUCAGGAUUUGGUUCUUGUUUUAAAGCUUCUGACGGAGACAGCCAAGUAGCCUGUCCUUGCUCUACGGGCUGGGAAGCAAUGAGUGAUUGCUGAAGAGGCUUUUUCUCAGCAAAGGGCAGAGGCAAAGGAGAGAAGAAAGGAAGGGCCCUGUGCUGCGAAGCACUUUUCUCAUUUUCUGCUGCUGGUGCUUGUGUUGGUGUCUUCCUCAACAUGCAGGGGAGGCCCAGAGAGGCACUGCUACGGGUUCCAGACAUUCCUUGUAUUCUCACUGCCUGGCUCUGUCCUCAACCACUUACUUCCGGUGUUAGCGGUGAGUCUCAAAGGAACAUUGUGCUGAACUGUUCUCCAUCUCAACUACAUGAUCCUGCAGCCCUCAGGAUGAAGGAUUUCGGUCUUUGAUUCCAGUGACCUGGAGUCUUGCUUACUGUCAACUCCAUGCGGAGAACUGUAGAAAACAGGAUAAAGACGAAGACUAGGCCGAGCCGUCCAAGGCAGUGAGUCCACAGUAAGUGGGGCGAGUUAGGCCGUUUCCGCACUGCUAUAAAGAAAUACCUGAGGUUGGGUAAUUUAGAAAGAAAAGAGGUUUAAUUGGCUCAUGACUCUGUAGGCUGCACAGGAAGCAUGGUGCAGGCAUCUGCUGGGCUUCUGGGGAGGCCUCAGGAAACAUAAUCAUGGCAGAAGGUGAAGGGGAAGCAGGCGGGUCUUAAUGGCGGGAGCACGAGCAGAAGAGCGGGGAGCGGCCACACACGUUUAAACGACCAGAUCUCGUGAGAGCUCCCUCACUAUCACGAGAACAGCACCGGGGACGGUGCUAAACCACUCAUGAGAAACCACCCCUGUGAUCCAGUCACCUCCCACCAGGCCCCACCUCCAACACUGGAGAUAGCAUUUCAAUGUGAGGUUUGGCAGAGACACACAUCCAAACUAUAGAAAGUGGGCAGGAUGGCUGGAGCGGCAAGUGUGGGGAGAUGAGGGAGGGUGUCUGAGGGCACUGGAGCCCGCCGGAGGGCAGCCACGGAUGAGGGGAGCUGAGCUGGGCUCGUGGAGGCGGGGUUUCUGUUGACUCGGAUGGAGAGACUGGGCGGGCCCGGCCCCAGCCAUCCCCGCUAGUCCGCUGAACUGUGGCCUGGGAAGUGGCUUUUCUGUUGGGCCACAUUGGUGCUAUUGAGUUCAAGGCUGAGAGCACAGAAAGAAUCCUGAGAAGCCUUUUGUGGGGGCCCAUCCCGUCCAGGCAUGAGCAGCUGUCAUGUGCAUGCCAUGAUGACCGUCACUGUCAGGACCGAGACAUCCUUGCAGUCCCACAGGUCGCCACCCCCCUGGCACAGCACACCUGCCAGUCACUUGGUCUUUGCCCGGGUGUCUCGCUGGGACCUACAGUUCAGGUGAAACAUCAUCACAUAGAAACCACUGCAGAGAAAUUUCGUAGAGUGCAGUGCCCCUCCAGCUCAGUGAACAGUUGAUGUUAGGUGAUCCUUGGCAAAAAUGCUUCAUCUUAAUCAGAGAACACCUCGUUCUUAGAAGCUCUGUAUAGCAGUUUACUUCGUAAGCUGGAAGGGCCUUAGAGCUGACCGAUCGUUGCUGAGUUUUGUGAUUUUUCUACUCUGCUAUCCUGACUUUGCCUUUCACCACUUUAAGAAUUCCAACCAUUCCAGCCGGGAAAACUCACUUCAGCUCCUCAGCUACCAACAGCAAAGACUCACAUAGAGCUGCCCUCAGAUCCCAGAGAAGGAGAAACGUUUGCAUGGUGCCCUCUUGUUCUCCUGAGUACAAAGUGUUUCAUUUUAAUUACUAAUUUACCGUAGGAACCCAGGGAUUCGUGUAUUGCCUCUCUUUGUCUUGCAGAUCAGGAAUGUGGUUUUAACAGUUUAUUUGUUACGACAAAAUUCCAUUUUAAGAGAACCCGUAGAAUUUUUUUUUGUUUUAUUUGUAGGGAUUUAGACCAUAUAAUGAGUCCCUUUAUAAAUGGGUUUAGAUAACACAGCGCAGGAGUAGCUUUUGUCUCCAACAGACUGGAGGAAUAAUAAAAUGUAGUCACUACUAAAUUAUGUCAUGGACUGAAGUAGAUUUUUACCAUUAAUUGGAUCUAGGCCCUCUGACCUUUUUGCAGGAAGCAAACUAAAGGUAUAAUAAUUUUUACAAGGAUGAGCUUUCUGCACUUCCAGUAAUUUUUUUUUAGAACACUGAAAUAAUUUCUGGACAUUGAAAGAACUCUGACAUACUGUUCUCGAGAUAAACAGAGCUGUGAAUUUCAA